UGCCUGGCGACCAUAGCGAGUGGGAACCACCCGAUACCAUCCCGAACUCGGAAGUGAAACCGCUCAGCGCCGAUGAUAGUGCGGCCUCGCUGUCGUGUGAAAGUAGGUCAUCGCUAGGCGUUUA
rnacentral:rRNA from 1 species